GACGAACGCUGGCGGCGUGCCUAAUACAUGCAAGUAGGACGCAGUUGUGAACGGGUGAGUACUGCGUAGGUAACUACCUAUUAGAGGGGGAUAACUACUGGAAACGAUAGCUAAUACCGCAUACUAGUAGAUGGACCUGCGUUGUAUUAGCUAGGAGGUAGGGUAAUGGCCUACCUAGGCAACGAUACAUCGCCGGCCUGGGGAGGUGGACGGGCACACGGGGACUGGGGACAGGGCCAAACGCCUACGGGGGGCAGGAGUAGGGGAACUUCGGAAAAGGGGGGAAAGCUGGACGAAGAAAGCCGGGUGAGUGAAGAAGGUUUUCGGGUCGUAAAGGUCUGUUAUGAAGGAAGCGGUACUUAACCAAAAAGGGACGGCUAACUACGUGCCAGCAGCCGCGGUAAUAC
rnacentral:rRNA from 1 species